rnacentral:rRNA from 1 species
AACAAACGCUGGCGGCGUGCCUAAUACAUGCAAGUCGAACGGGGAAAGCUUUCGGGUGAGUACUAGUGGCGCACGGGUGAGUAACGCGUGGAUAAUCUGCCUUAGAGUGGGGGAUAACUAGUCGAAAGAUUAGCUAAUGCCGCAUAAGACCACAAGAACUGCGGUUCAAGGGGUCAAAGGUUUUUCGCUCUAAGAUGAGUCCGCGUAAGAUUAGCUAGUUGGUAGGGUAACGGCCUACCAAGGCGACGAUCUUUAACUGGUCUGAGAGGAUGAUCAGUCACACUGGAACUGAGACACGGUCCAGACUCCUACGGGAGGCAGCAGUAGGGAAUAUUGCACAAUGGAGGAAACUCUGAUGCAGCGACGCCGCGUGAGUGAUGAAGGCCUUCGGGUCGUAAAGCUCUGUCGCAGGGGAAUAACACAAUGAAGGUACCCUGUAAGAAAGGAUCGGCUAACUUCGUGCCAGCAGCCGCGGUAAUAC